rnacentral:rRNA from 1 species
AGCUCCAAUAGCGUAUAUUAAAGUUGUUGCAGUUAAAAAGCUCGUAGUUGGAUUUCGGGGCGGCCCGGGCGGUCCGCCGCGAGGCGAGCACUGGUCGGGCGCCCUUCCUCUCGAAGGCUUCGACUGCUCUUGAGUGCUGUGGUCGGAGAGUUCGGGACGUUUACUUUGAAAAAAUUAGAGUGUUCAAGGCAGGCCGGUGGCCUGAAUACGUUAGCAUGGAAUAAUGGAAGAGGACCUCGGUCCUAUUUUGUUGGUUUCCAGGGCCGAAGUAAUGAUUGAGAGGGACAGUUGGGGGCAUUCGUAUUUACUUGUCAGAGGUGAAAUUCUCGGAUUUCGGAAAGACGAACAGGUGCGAAAGCAUUUGCCAAGGAUGUUUUCA